UGUAACGGUUGUUGCGGUUGUAGCGGAUGUGGAGAUAACUUUGAAUUAAUUUUUUUUUUAAGUUUUGAAUAAUGAUUCAGACGUUUUAAUUUUAAUGAAAAAUAAAUAAGGCCUGUUAAGCUUACAUUAUUGGCCGUCCCCUCUUUUCUUUGUUUGUUUUUCUCUUUUGCUCUUUUAGGAGAUGUAGUAAAAUAGAGUUUAUUGGUGAUCUUUUUUUCUUUUGGGUAGUAAAAUUGAUCUUGAUACAAAAUGUUACACGAUAUAUUAAAGUGAUAUUAUACAACAUAAUUAUUAACACGAGAUGAUUGAGUAUAUGCGUGGAUAUGUAUGUUGUGCUUUCUUUUAUUGAAAUUAUAUUGACUAUAUUGUUAUUAAUUGUGCGUUAUUAUUAAUUGUGCGUUAUGGAAGCGGGAAUAAACUUAUCAUUUCAAUUUAGAUAAAAUAACUUUUUGUCCAAAAAAUUGAAGGUUAGUUACUCUCUUAAUGAUUUGAAAGAAAGGUACUGAAAUUAUAGAUAUAAUUAAAUGAUCUUAUGUCAAAUAUUUACUAGGCCAAACAUGAGCUCAUUCAGUAGAAUAAUCCAUUGAUACCCCUAAGAUGAAAAAUUCCAAAGUUAUCCUAUGGUCCAUGAAGAGAAAAAAAAUAAUAAUUUCAUAUUUGAUCCAUAACAUUUUAUAAAUAGCCUCUAAGCUAGUUAGAUUGUCACGCCCUUUCUAUAAGCUUUGUCAUAACAUCUGUUCUUUGAGUGAGAACUCUGUGAUAGGCUCGACUCAGAUGUCACCCUUUUAAACUAACUGAGUUAUCUCGAAGGUCGAAGGACAAGCAAGCAUAUUUACAAUGGAUUAUAUGCCUAUGAUUGUGGGCAUGCUCUCCGUUUUUCUGGUAAUAAUUUUGACGAUUUUGUGCACCAUAUGCGUCUACGCACACAAGCAGAUCAAGGGAAAAAGAGUAGGCGAUGUGGAAAUAGGUUGUGGAACUGAUGGAUUUAGAACUGCGUUAGUGAUUUGUUUGACCGGCACUGGAGGAGCUGCUGUCGCAGGUGGUGCUGUGGCGGAGACAGUGAUUGGUGGCGCUGAUACGGUUAGGGAGGGUUGUUGUUGGGGUGGUGGCAUUGAUGGCGGAGGUGGUUGCGGUGGAUGUGGAGGUGGUUGACUUAAGUUUCUAAAUAAUUAUACAUUAGACAUAAAGUUCGAUUGUUAAAGGAGAAAACGUGUAAUUUUAUGUGUUUAUUAAGUUGCCGAUUACGUAUGUUACACAAAACACCUAUGAAUUAAAAAAUGAACCUCACAAUUCAAGUACUAGAGUAUUUAAACAUCUCUAAUCUAAAAUGUUAUGGUUCAGAAAGAUGUGUUGAAGUUCUCAAUUUGGGUUUUGGUGCUGGGUACUUUAAUGUUUUUUUACUUAAAAGUUAAGUGAUUUUUAAGAAUUUCAGGAUAUUUUGAUUGAUAACAGAGAGUUGCUCGGACGGUAAAUAUUAAGCUGGAUACUUGUGGAUUAUCAAAUAGAAGAUACAUCUUGGAUCAUAUUCUUGAGCUGUAACGAGUGUUCAGAAAGUCUAGGAAAAUGUACCACAUCCAUACGAGCUGAAGUGUUAGAACAUUUUAGCCCUUUUAGUGCAACUAUGAGCCAUCUAGUGUAUGUACUAAGGCUGUUUCAUUGCAUACAAGGAUGAUUUGUUGUUUGAAAGAGUUAGUACUUAUCAAGCUAAGGUCGAGCUGUUAUAAACCUUACCUGUUACUGCAUCACCUCGCCAGUCCUAGAUGUGCUGCUUAGUGUAGAGUUCUGUUUUGUUUGCUUUGAGGAUAUAUGGUAAGCCUAGCUUCAUGCCCUUCGCUUACUGUAUUCUGUGGUUUGUAUUUAGCUGCAUUUUUUGUCGUUGCUUGAUUUAAUAGCCUUCCCAAUGUUGCGUGUGGUUGCUUCAAGUUUUAGUCUGCAUCUCAAUUAGGCAUAAACUAUGACAAUUGUCUGUCUUUGCCUACUGAUUAUUACAUAUCAAUUGGUCACUUGUUUCUGUUUUGUGAUACUGUUUUUUUUAUGUUAUUAUUGAACGUCAUACAACUGGUUAGCUGCUAACUUUAGUUUCAAAGUGACAUUGUUGUGCAGAAGGGAUACUUAUCCCUCCUAUCCUUUACAGUUGUUGAUAUAAACAAUUCGGUGACCAAACUAUUGGCUUUAGGUGCCGAGUUGGAUGGCCCCAUCAAAUAUGAAAUCCAUGGAAAGGUUUUGCUGCUUUGAGGUGUGUGGAUGGACAUAUGUUAGGUCUUUAUCAGCCGUCCUAAGGCAUCCUCGAAACAACCACUUGCAGGUAAAAGUAAUCACGACUUCUGUAACAAGGCAAAUUGGUUUCUCAGCAUAGAUUUUGCAUUCGGGUGUACUGUUGAAAGAGAGAAUCGACUCUUGUACAUGGAGGUGAAGCACAUAUAGGGAGUGUUACAGCAAGAAACAAUCAAUACAGUAGCUGAAUUCCUACUGUAUUUGUUUUUGAUGUUCUGUUCUGGUUAUCCUUUUGUGUAACAUGAUGUUUUGUAUUCACCAACAUGAAUUGUGGUGCUCCACCCUUAACCAGAGGACUCGGAUUCGAGCUUCCGGUAUGGAGAAAAUUUUGUUGAGAAAGCCACUCUUGAAUAGG